GAGUUNGAUCCUGGCUCAGAUUGAACGCUGGCGGAAUGCUUUACACAUGCAAGUCGAACGGCAGCACGGAGAGCUUGCUCUCUGGUGGCGAGUGGCGAACGGGUGAGUAAUAUAUCGGAACGUGUCCAAUAAUGGGGGAUAACGAGUCGAAAGAUUCGCUAAUACCGCAUACGCCCUACGGGGGAAAGCAGGGGAUCGUAAGACCUUGCGUUAAUGGAGCGGCCGAUAUCUGAUUAGCUUGUUGGUGAGGUAAAGGCUCACCAAGGCGACGAUCAGUAGCUGGUUUGAGAGAACGACCAGCCACACUGGAACUGAGACACGGUCCAGACUCCUACGGGAGGCAGCAGUGGGGAAUUUUGGACAAUGGGGGCAACCCUGAUCCAGCCAUUCCGCGUGAGUGAAGAAGGCCUUCGGGUUGUAAAGCUCUUUCGCAAGGGAAGAAAACUUAUGAUCGAAUAAAUCAUGAGGUUGACGGUACCUUGAUAAGAAGCACCGGCUAACUACGUGCCAGCAGCCGCGGUAAUACGUAGGGUGCGAGCGUUAAUCGGAAUUACUGGGCGUAAAGCGUGCGCAGGCGGUUUUGUAAGUCGGAUGUGAAAUCCCCGGGCUCAACCUGGGAACUGCGUUCGAAACUGCAAGGCUAGAGUGUGUCAGAGGGGGGUAGAAUUCCACGUGUAGCAGUGAAAUGCGUAGAGAUGUGGAGGAAUACCAAUGGCGAAAGGCAGCCCCCUGGGAUAACACUGACGCUCAUGCACGAAAGCGUGGGGAGCAAACAGGAUUAGAUACCCUGGUAGUCCACGCCCUAAACGAUGUCAACUAGUUGUUGGUAGAGUAAAAUCUAUGAGUAACGUAGCUAACGCGUGAAGUUGAC
rnacentral:rRNA from 1 species